UCUCUUUAGUCUCCUGCAAUCUGGAAUGGCUUCCAAGUCUCUUGAUCUUUCGCAACCUUGACAUUUUUGAAGAGCCAAGGCCAAUUAUUUAGUAGAUUCUAUGAUCUGCUAACACAAUUAGUCUUUGAUAGCUUCCUUGCUUUCUGGCAAAACAAGAUGUCCCAAGUUCAUCUGUACCUUAACUAUUCCUUAUCCUAAUGACCUUUUCUCUAAAGAUCCCUGGUUUCUUUCCAUAGGAACCAGGGCUUUGAGAUGGGAAAUGAAUUCUGAUGAUGCUGCUGUUGAUGGGGAAUGAGACGUGAGUGGGGGCAGCAGGAGGGUGAGCAGCACCCACUGGGGCCGGGCUUUCCCCCCCCGCCCACUGACCGUGCCCCAUCCCUCUUGUCUGGGGGAACAGCAGUUUCAGACUGGCCUUUGUGGAUCAGUUUUUCUGAGGAAAAUCAGGGAGGAACAUAUGGCUGUUGUUCACUGGCGUGGCUUAAGUCAACUGGAGGUACAAAAACAGACCUGGGGCAUCCAAAGUCUGUCAAGGAAGGAUCAGAACACCUGCAUAAACAUCAGGUUAAAAUGUUUUAAGGCCUCCGGAUCGGACAGCAUCUGACUUGCAAACAUAAAAAUAGUUGAAUUCUUCCUUAUGUCUCAUUUUUGGUAAAGGAUAGAGUUAUAUUAGUGCAGAUUUAAUCAUCUGCUGCUGCUGCUUACUGCCUUCAGUCCUGUUGCUGUGGAAUCCGGAGUCGCAAAGCACGCCUCAGAGGACACUCCAGAUGGUGGAGUACAGUUUAUUAUGCCAGUGGGUCCAAGGGGAAUCAGUUCCCAACAAGGACCCUGAUGUUUCUGAGAGGGCCAGUUUUAUAUCCCCCACUACAUGACUGGUUACAUGUUAGCAACCUCUUUGUUGUAUAUGACUGAGUUUUACAACAAGUGGGUGUUAGGAGAACAAACAAUUAAGGUUAGAGGGGGGAAAGAAUGAUUAUGCAUGAAGGGGGGAUGUCUCCACGCUUAAUCUAGCAGGGGCAGCCUGACCUCAUCUACAAUCUCCGUUUGCCAUCUGUAGGGAGGGAAGUCUCCAGGAGACCUGGUUUUCACUAGCAAUGGUUUCCUCACUCUUGGGCAGGGUUCAGGCCCCAUUGACAUCCUGUCUUUAAGAUGGAUGAUAGGCUGCAAGAUGGAGUCUCUCUUGCUUUCCUCACACUGGCCCCAACAGUGUCUGACUCUGUGCAACCCUACAAACUGCAGCCCGCCAGGCUCCUCUGUUCAUGGGAUUCUCUGGGCAAGAGUACUGGAGUGGGUUGCCAUGCCCUUCUCCAGGGGAUCUUCUCGCACCAGGAAUUGAAUCCGGUCUCCUGAAUUGCAGGCAGAUUCUUUACCACUGAACCAUCAGGGAAGCCCAUUUAAUUAUCUAGCUUUUAUCACUUAAACUGUCUUUAAGUUUCAAACAUCUUGUGUUCAUAUGCAUUUUAAUUUGCUAUCAGAGCCAAAACUUGAAUUUUUUUCAUCUAGCCUUUAUGGGUAAAAUUGAUAUCCCACACCAAAGAGUUUUAGCUAUGAUCUUGCAGAAUUCAACACUUGUAAUGGU
ensembl:lncRNA